CGACACUGCUGUUCCUUCUGAAGGCACCAUGAAGCUCAGCAUCGCCAUCACCCUCUGCGCUCUACUCUACUUCUUUGGUCCUGCUUGCGGCCAGAAUAUCAACCAUGGUUUCGACCUCAUUUUCGAACACGUUUUCGACCCUAACUGUGGUUUCCAGGGUCAACUGAGGGGUUGCAAUACCAAUAGCGGAAAUGUUGACAACCGCGGGAAUAUGAAUAUGGGUCGAUUGAGGCGUGACAAUUCGAAUAGCGGAAGUGUUGGAAACAGCGGGAAUAUGAAUAUUGGUCGACUGAGGCGUGACAAUUUGAAUAGCGGAAGUUUCGACAACAGCGGAAGUGUGAAUAUGGGUCGACUGAGGCCUGCCAAUACCAAUAGCGGAGAUGUGGCAAACAACGGAAAUAUGAAUAUAGGUUGACUGAGGCGUACCUCUGAACCAACUGGAAAUGCAAUCGACCCAAAAGAUUGCUGAUGACGGGAAGCAGAGCUGCAGAGCUGCAGAGCUACGGUCCACCGUUGGUCCACAGUUGGUCAGGAAGACUCCAGAGUCACUUUGACACAAUAAAGAAUUUCAGCAUCACUU